CUUCCCUUUUAGUGUUCCUGCUCAUGUCCUCCCCUUGACUUUUUUCUUCUCUCAGUGCACUUGGUCAAGUAGAGCUCAUAACGAGCAUCAGAGCUCAGGACUGAGAUCCUACCUCCUUCCAGGGCUAUUGGGUCAGCAGCAUGCCAUGGCCCUGAUUUUCCUUGAAAGAGAAGCAGCAGUUUUGAAGGAGACUGAUCCAUAGUAUGCCACAGCAAGGAGAGGUGGUACCCACGGAGGCAUCUUUCUGCUGUUCCCAGGGUCGCUGCCUGUCCUACUGCAGCCAGAAGAAGCACUGGGGCCUCUAUCUUCUCAGUCCCACUGUGGACGCCCAACAUCAUUGCCUUCUUGCCCUUUGCUGCCUUGAAGGACUGGCACUGCUCUCAGUCCAUGCUGAAAGCAUCGGGGAAUGCCAGGCCCGGGUCCCUGCCCUCAGGGACCAGGACAGCCACUCUGUCCUCUCCGUAGAAGAUGGCAACAGAGCUGUCCACGCAAGGAUGCAAGGAUGGCUGAGUAGUGAGCAGAGGAGCUGCAGCUGCUGCUCUUACACAGGAAAGAGGGGAUAACCACCCGUGACGUCACUUAAGAGGGAGAGCUCCUGCACCCUGGAAGGGCAUGACAGAGAUCUGCUGCUCACUGACUGUGUGUCCUGGUGGGCUCCCUCCUGCAAUUACAGGGGUUGAUGUCCUUAGCCAAAGGAGCCCCUCUGGCUGCUGAUCGGCAGGAGCAUUUUUCAGGUCUGCUGCCUCUUGUCCCUGUCCUCAUGGAGGGAUUCUUCUCUCACAGUCACUUCUCUUCCUGCACCUGGGGCUGCAGUUGCAGGUGCAGCCAAUCGCUGGGAGCUUACACCUCCUGGCUGGCAGCAGCAUGGAGCUUUGGUGCAUGUAGGGCAGAGUGACCCAUAGUCAGAUCUGUUCUGGGUGCAUCCCUCGCCCUUCUCUUCCACUCUGUGUCCUCGCCCCAGGUUCCUCUGCUGCCGUAUCUGUCCUCAGUUACUUGGCAUUGUUUGUGGGCUGAUUUGAGAAGGAAGCCAGCACCUGCUUCUGCAGCUCAUCAGCAGUUUGUCUGGCUUUCUUCAAAUCUCUAAGUGCUGUGAAAAGCUCCUGCAGGAGGGAGAUUGGAAUGUCGGUCCCAGCGAGAUUUGGAAGCUGUGGCAGACCUGAGGGUCUCUGCUCCAGCAUGAAGACUGGAACGUUGGUCCCAGUGGGAUUUGGAGGCUGUGGCAGACCUGAGGGUCUCUGCUGCUGCACGAAGAGGACUGGAACGUUGGUCCCAGUGGGAUUUGGAGGCUGUGGCAGACCUGAGGGUCUCUGCUCACUGGAGGACUGCUUUUUCUUUGGGGACUUUCUUCUUGGAGGAGCUGGCUUGUCCUGGGUGUGUCCCUUGCCCUUCUGCUUCUGCCCCCUGGUAGCAUCUGGCAGUAAUCCACUACUCACUGCAGCUGUGCCUGCCUGGACAUCUGCUAGAACAGACUGAGAUGGGGCAGGAGCUUCAGUCUCCAAGAGCAGCCUUCUCCGAGGUAGCAGCACGUUGGCUGGCUCUCUACGGGCAACAGGAGCCAGCACGUCCAGGUGCCUGUGGCUGCUGCCACCCUGGCUCAAUGCUUUUUUGGCACCUCUGGCCUCACUGGCAUCGCUGAAAGUCUUAUCUUGAGAUGCCACCAUGUCCUUCCUCAUUGCCUCCUGAGGUGUACGUGGGUUUUUCUUUUUGGCCAGUAGACUCAGUGAUCGUCUGCUCCUACGUUGAUCUGUGUCCAGCCUGGCCUGCUCUAAGGAUCUGUUUUUCAUGAUGGGCUCUCUUCCCUUCUUUGAGAGCUUCUUAGUUGCCUUUCUGAUCAGGGAAUAGAGGGCCAUGCUGGCAGCUCGGAGCUUGGCCCCGGCAUUCUGAAUGAAAUGGCACAGGAGGGCUGGUGCACAGCAGUUUCUGCACAGCGUAGGUGGUGUCUCUGGUCUAGGAGUCGUGUGUUCUGCUGCUUCUUGCCUGGGCGUCAUCUCUGCGUGUGCUGCUUGGGGUCUGAAUGGUCUACCCUGUGGCAGACGCCUCCAUGGCACAACCGAAGAACUCUCCACGAGGGUACGUUCAGGGAGCCCCUCUGGCUGCUGGGCAGCAGUGGUAUUUUUCUUGUCCUGUUGCUCACUGGCCUUGACCUCGGGUGAAUUCCUCUCUCGAACUGUUGCUCCUCCUGCAACAACCGGGGCUGCAGUGUCAGAUGGAGCCACGCCCUGGGAUCCUUCAUUGUUAGGCUGGGUGUAGUAGUCUCUAUAAAAUUCCAACUUUCGCCUCUCAACAUAUUCAUAUUGCUCCAGCCACAGAUGCAUCAUCUUGAUCUGAUGGUCAUCAGGGCCUUCAUAGAUUCUGCAGCAGGCAAUGUGGACUGGAAUCCUUGUUUCUUGUCUGCACUUAUCUGUCUCGGGGGCAGAUUUUCGCCGUGGACAAGGGCCUGUGCUGCUGACCUCCUUGCCAGAGCUUGCCCAUGCCCACGCUGGAAGAGCGAGUAAGUGGGCCUCCUUGAGUGCCUCAGAGGAUGGGGAAGCUGGGAGUCUCUCUGACCCAGGACAGGCUCUGAGAAACUCCUCUUCAGGAACUGUGGUGCCUGCAUUUUUAUGUUAGGAUGCUCCGAAUGACUUUGCAUAGCCUCAUCCUCUAAGGGCAGGUCCUGCACCGUGGGAGCCACCAUCACAUCAGGCUUUCUCUGAUCACUGAGGCCCAGUCCCUGCUCCGCUUUCCUUUCUGGGAUGGAGCUUUCCAAGUUCUCCUGGGCUUUUGGGUGUCGGUAAGGUGCCUCCAUUUCCCCCCAACUGGUGCUCAACGGAUACAGCGAUGUCCUCAAAGAGCAGCGGUUUUCACUCACUGUGACCGAGCUGGUGGAAUCAUCGCUGCCCUCAGGCAGUUCCAAGGUGAGCCUGUGUGAGAUGGAGAAAGAGAAGGAAGAUGAGGGCGGUUCUGAGCCAAACUCUCCUGAGGACCCCGGGGCUUUUCUGUCGCUUCAAAGGUGUUGGCAGGCUGUGUCAUUUCCACAGGGUCCCCAAAAGUGUGUGCCCAAGGUUCCAUCCCCGCUUACAG
ensembl:lncRNA